rnacentral:rRNA from 1 species
AUGAACGCUGGCGGCGUGCCUAAUACAUGCAAGUCGAGCGAACGGACGAGAAGCUUGCUUCUCUGAUGUUAGCGGCGGACGGGUGAGUAGCACGUGGAUAACCUACCUAUAAGACUGGGAUAACUUCGGGAAACCGGAGCUAAUACCGGAUGAUAUUUUGAACCGCAUGGUUCAAAAGUGAAAGACGGUCUUGCUGUCACUUAUAGAUGGAUCCGCGCUGCAUUAGCUAGUUGGUAAGGUAACGGCUUACCAAGGCAACGAUGCAUAGCCGACCUGAGAGGGUGAUCGGCCACACUGGAACUGAGACACGGUCCAGACUCCUACGGGAGGCAGCAGUAGGGAAUCUUCCGCAAUGGGCGAAAGCCUGACGGAGCAACGCCGCGUGAGUGAUGUAGGUCUCCGGAUCGUAAAACUCUGUUAUUAGGGAAGAACAUAUGUGUAAGUAACUGUGCACAUCUUGACGGUACCUAAUCAGAAAGCCACGGCUAACUACGUG